GUUACUCCUCUUCAGUUAGUUUGUAUUUGGUCUUUGUUACCUUUACAUUCCUAAGUCCUCCCAAGUCUGGUUCUUCCAGUUUAUCUCAUUUCUCCAGUCCCUCCUGAGAGGUUAGUUUAGUAGUGUUUAUAUUUAUUCUAGUCCUCAUGUUCUCUGCCUUUUCCCCACUCAGUUCAGUCAGUGUGGUUUUAGGUUUGUUUACUUUGUAAUCCGGUUCGCUUUAUGGGUUUCUUGUUUGUUCUUAGGUUGCUUAGAUCUUAGGUUAUGGUGUUUCUUAUGUUCCCUCUAGUUUCUCUGUUCAUGAUUAUUCUUGACUCUCAUGCUUCAUUUGGUUAUUUUGUUUAUGGCUUCAUUUCGGUAUUGUUUAUUAGCCCAUGCUUUAGUUUUUGUAUUUGUUUCACCUGUUCCUUCUGGCUCCCUGCUUUGUUGUCACACCUGUUCUUAGUUCCUUCGAUUACCUGCCUUUGUCUCCCUCAGUAUAUUAGUUGGUUUUGUUUCAUUGUGUGUCGCUGGUUCCUUCGUUCACAACUCGAUUCACUACCCUCCUCCAUGCCAUGAGUUUCCAUGUUCCUGCAGUGUCUUUAUGUACGUUUUUUGGAUCUCAACUCUGGCUGGUCGUUACAACCUGGUGACAAGCCUCCACUGGCGACACGGGGGAUCCCACAGCAAGCACAGACAGAAACAGGCAGAUAAAUGCUGAUUCUCAGGGCACAAUCACAGCAGAUGUGUAUAAAUGUAACACUUUUUAUUUGAUUGACUUUACUUCUAUAUGUAGAUGGGUUUUACUCAUGUUAAAAUAAAAAUUUGCAAUGCUC